GAUGAACGCUAGCGGGAGGCCUAACACAUGCAAGCCGAGCGGUAUUGUUUCUUCGGAAAUGAGAGAGCGGCGUACGGGUGCGGAACACGUGUGCAACCUGCCUUUAUCUGGAGGAUAGCCUUUCGAAAGGAAGAUUAAUACUCCAUAAUAUAUUAAUUGGCAUCAAUUGAUAUUGAAAACUCCGGUGGAUAGAGAUGGGCACGCCCAAGAUUAGCUAGUUGGUGAGGUAACGGCUCAACAAGGCAAUGAUCUUUAGGGGGCCUGAGAGGGUGAUCCCCCACACUGGUACUGAGACACGGACCAGACUCCUACGGGAGGCAGCAGUGAGGAAUAUUGGUCAAUGGGUGCAAGCCUGAACCAGCCAGCCCGCGUGAAGGAUUAAGGUCCUAUGGAUUGUAAACUUCUUUUGUAUAGGGAUAAACCUACCCUCGUGAGGGUAGCUGAAGGUACUAUACGAAUAAGCACCGGCUAACUCCGUGCCAGCAGCCGCGGUAACAC
rnacentral:rRNA from 1 species